AAUGAACGUUGGCGGCAUGGAUUAGGCAUGCAAGUCGAGCGCGAAGAGUCAUUUGCUUGCAUUUGACUCUGAAAGCGGCGUAAGGGUGAGUAACGCGUAGUUACCUACCUCCGGGUCCGGACUAGCUGCGGGAAACUGCAGGUAAUGCCGGAUAGUAUCUCAGGAUCCAAGGUGAGAUUCCGCUCGGAGAGGGGACUGCGUCCUACUCGCUUGUUGGUGGGGUAAUGGCCUACCAAGGCUUCGAGGGGUAGCGGGCGUGAGAGCGUGGCCCGUCACACUGGGACUGAGACACUGCCCAGACACCUACGGGUGGCUGCAGUCGAGAAUCUUCGGCAAUGGGCGAAAGCCUGACCGAGCAAUGCCGCGUGCGGGAUGAAGGCCCUCGGGUUGUAAACCGCGAAAGUAAGGAGGAAGGACCUGCGAAGAGCAGGUUUUGACCGAUCUACAGUAAGGACGGGCUAAGUUCGUGCCAGCAGCCGCCGUAA
rnacentral:rRNA from 1 species